rnacentral:rRNA from 1 species
AACGAACGCUGGCGGCAUGCCUAACACAUGCAAGUCGAACGAGACCUUCGGGUCUAGUGGCGCACGGGUGCGUAACGCGUGGGAACCUGCCUUUAGGUUCGGAAUAACUCCCCGAAAGGGGUGCUAAUACCGGAUAAUGUCUUCGGACCAAAGAUUUAUCGCCUUUAGAUGGGCCCGCGUAAGAUUAGGUAGUUGGUGGGGUAAAGGCCUACCAAGCCGACGAUCUUUAGCUGGUCUGAGAGGAUGAUCAGCCACACUGGGACUGAGACACGGCCCAGACUCCUACGGGAGGCAGCAGUGGGGAAUAUUGGACAAUGGGCGAAAGCCUGAUCCAGCAAUGCCGCGUGAGUGAUGAAGGCCUUAGGGUUGUAAAGCUCUUUUACCAGGGAUGAUAAUGACAGUACCUGGAGAAUAAGCUCCGGCUAACUCCGUGCCAGCCGCCGCAGUAAGAC